UUUGUGAAGUCAAGAUUUGGACUCAGCUGUUCAUAUAAAUUUCAUAGGAAUUAUCAUCAGGGGAAGCUGAUCGGCCCAGCCUGGUCCUGGUCCAGACUGAGAACGUCCCAAUGAAAACCAAUAGCCCUGGGCUCAUAUAGAGCACCAGCGCGAAGACAGAGGGAACCAUAAAAGGAGCAAUAAAGCUAAUGCGAUAGAGAAAAUGGCUUUCUGAAUAAAGGUGUGAUGAAAGCCGUGCCCCUGAAAUCUGGGUGUGCAGAGCUCUGCAGAGGUGACAGUCUGAUGAAGUUUAUAUUGGAUUUUCUGAGAGUUAAAUCAAAGUAACCUUAAAAUACCACUACUCUUGUGUUAGAUAUGAAAUUGAUUGGCAGUAUGUGUUCAUAAGCUGAAUAACACUGGAGGAACUGGCAAUGAUGUCGGCCUGUAUAUGAGUAACAGCACAAAGUUAUAGAAACAAGAAGACAUGACAAGAAUUGGUUAAUAGUUGGAUGCAGCUAGUAAGUAUGUAGGUAUGUUAAAGUAAAGCAUAAGACACAAUAAAACCAUAUAAAGCACCUGCAACAUAAUGAACAAGAAAAUAUACUUUUUUAGGUAUUAAUUUGAAUACAUGAAGAGUUUUUCAUCUUUCGGGUGAAAUUAAACACAUACAGUAUGAAAGCAGAUAUGGCUUUCAGUAACAGUGGUCUGAAGAUUGUUGUUGCAGUAAUGACAACUGGUAGACUCGAGCUGUGAUGAAGCCAUGAAGCUAAAGGUGCAAAUUGCCAGGUAACUCCUAUAUCAGUAGACAGGCACUGAGCUAGAAACUUAAGAAAACUUGCAUGUGGUAAGAAUUUGAAAAGGACUUUUUGUUGGAAUGCUGCCUGGUGGCUCAAGAAUACGAAACAGGGACCAUUCAUGGGCGUGUUUAGUUUUCCAGGGUUUUUAUGUCACAAACUGGGCUCUUCACAGAACUUUUAAAGGCCUUCAUGAGUGCCAGUUUGUUUGGUAUUGCUCUUAGACAUUUCUCUUCACUUUCUACACCUGGUCAUACAGAAAACAUUUUAUUAAACAUUUGAACUGCAAUCAGUUAUAUCACCCAUUUUUUGUGUUGUGGGUGAACUGUUGUGUUAUCCAUUAAUGCCCAAGUUUGGCAUUCCAAUAUAAUGUCAUCAGUUUUUAACAUGUUUUUACAACUUAUAAACAAAAAAGAUUAUUAAAAGUCUGAAUAUAACCGCAAAAGAAAUGUUAAAAAAGUGAUACAGUUGAGAGUAAUGACAAAAAACAGACGACCUUCACAACACAUAGUAUUUUUUGCUUUCACUUACUAUAGCAAAACAUCAUGUCAGUUUGUUUUUAUAUAUAAAUUGUAUAAUGUUUUAUGUAGUCCAAGAGAGCUACAUUCAGUCAUUCACCAAUGCAUUAACCCGCUAACGGUUGCACGCUACGUUGUAGCCACAGCUAUAUCAUACAUUUUCGUGGAAGACACUUUUUUGUCAUAAUUUCAUAUCUGGUGGGCAUGUGUCCUGUCAUUCAGACGGUGUGGAAAUCUCGUUCAUUGUCCGUUUAAAUGCAAUCACAAAAUGCCCACCAGUUUGCAACCAGCAUUCAUCCUGCCCCUCUCCAUCCCUCUGCUUGUGUUUGCAGGUUUGCAUCUGAAUCACGGGGCUGGUGGGGGCCCAGCACUCGGCCACGUGGACCAGAUUGAUGUCAUUGUCUCGGCACACUGACCUUUGCUGUAAUACCCACGGCAGACAUCACAAACUCUCACAUCAAUUUAGUCCAAUUGGAUGUGGCAUGUCUUGGCUAACUCAAUUUGUGGAGAAAUGCACCUGUCUCUGCCUUCCCUCCCUAUAGAUUUGCUAAAGGGAGGGGGGAAGCAGAGAAAGGGAGAGUGAAGGGAGAGCUUUUGGAGUGAGAUGCUCCUGGUCUACUCCCCGUCUCCUUCCUCACCCCUAGAAACACUCACCCGUAUGCAUAUAAACACCAACUUCUUUUUUUUUCUCCAUCCCUCAGCUCUUUUCCCUCGGCCUUACUUUGCAGAUGUACCGUCUCUGCACCAACAUACGCCCCAAACAGCCAGUGUUGGUUUGUUUGCCUCUGUGUGUGUUUUCCAAGGUCUGGGGAGAGCGUCUGGGAGGAGCAGAAGGAGAGCCAUUAGCCCAGCAGUAAUCAGAUUAGAGAGACGUUAAAGGGGGAUGUGAAUUUAAACAGCCAGCAGAGAGAACAAGAGGAAAACUUGGAGGUGUUAUUAAGCCAAAGGUCCAAUCAGUGACCUAUUCGAGCCACAUAGCAGUGUGACCCCCGUGCCCCCUCACACCACUGUGGCGACCCGUCCCUUUGCCUCGCUCCCCUCCAGAAUGCUGAGGCAUCACUGCUCCUGAGCACACAGUCCAGCAGCACCCCCUGACCCUGCGCUGUCCCCCAUUAUAGAGCAGUCAGAAAGCUUUUAGGGGCUCCGGUAACGCUGAAAGAUUGAUGGCGUAAAAUGGGGAGGAGGAGGGGGGAAGAGCAGGUGGUUAAGAAGAGAAUGUCCUGCUUAAUGGGUUGCCAGGAAUGUAAUUCAAUAAUUAUGAAAAGUGACUCAGGAGAGCUGGCUGGAUGGAUGGAUGGCUGGAUGGCUGCUGAGGGAGGCGGGGAGCUCGUCCAGUCUUACUGCCUCAACGUCCUCAACAUCCUGAAGCGACAGAAACAGGAGGACAGCUGAUGUGAAACACCAAAUUAUAGUGGAGUUCAUGACUCAUCAAAGGACGGGAUAAAACCAUCCAGGACUUUGAAGAUGAUUCAGUAGUUCUUUCAGUUUUUUCCUGCUGGCUUACUCUGCUCAGCCACACAUUCUUCCAUUGUCAGGGCUUCUGUUGAUGUUUUCUUCAACUGUAUACUUCCUCCUUUCCUCAUUUCAGUAUGUACCCACUUACUUACCACAUUUACCAGACACACAAUAAAGUGUCUACUGUGGAAGAGCAGUGUUUUACAGUUUUGAUGUGAUUUGCAAAGUGUAGCAUAUACAUCUGACCCUGGCAUGUCAAUAAAGCCCUUCUCCAGUUGG